GGGCGCUGUCUCCUCACACUUCUGGCUGAGCUCACCUCCGCUGUCUGAACCUCCUGUUGAGGCUGGAGAGAAAUUGAGAGGCCUGGAGCCGGUGUCUGGGAGGCCUCUGGACACAGCUGGACCCACCGAGGCCACAUGGGGCCAGUAGGAUCUGAGCCUGUGGAAGGAGGUGCUCCAGUAACCCAAGGAGAAGAUCAUUUGGCUAGGGCCCCGUAUGACCUUCAAACUGGCAUAGGCACUGAACUCCAAGUCAGGAAAGGGUUUGAUGUGACCUACUAAAGUCCCUCGGGCUGAGGUUUCAGAUGAGUGUCCUUUAUUUAGUCCUUUGGAGGUGUGGACCCGUAUGUCUUUGGUAUGGAUCCACAUUUCAAUGGGGUCAGUAACUCCCUGGAUUGGUUUUUCAUCAGAGUCACCAGGAAACCUUGUCAAAGAGGAGAUACCCAGGCCUUGCACCAGCCUUUGGGGAGGGCCUGAGAGUGAGCAUCUCCCAGGGAAGAGGAAGGAGGAAGGCUGCUAACACCUGGGAAUAAU
rnacentral:lncRNA from 1 species